AUGGGAGGCAGAGAUGUAAUAGAAUCUAAACAAGGAAGAGCACUUGCCAUUCGUUGGUUAUUAGAAGCAUCCCAAAAGCGUCCGGGUCGAAAUAUGGCUUUUAAAUUAAGUUCCGAAUUAGUAGAUGCUGCCAGAGGGAGUGGGGGUGCCAUACGCAGAAAGGAAGCGACUCAUAGAAUGGCAGAGACAAAUAGAGCUCUUGCACAUUUUCGUUAA
rnacentral:rRNA from 1 species